rnacentral:rRNA from 1 species
CAGCCGCCGCGGUAAUACGAAGGGUGCAAGCGUUACUCGGAAUUACUGGGCGUAAAGCGUGCGUAGGUGGUGGUUUAAGUCCGUUGUGAAAGCCCUGGGCUCAACCUGGGAAUUGCAGUGGAUACUGGAUCACUAGAGUGUGGUAGAGGAUAGUGGAAUUUCCGGUGUAGCAGUGAAAUGCGUAGAGAUCGGAAGGAACACCUGUGGCGAAGGCGACUAUCUGGGCCAACACUAACACUGAGGCACGAAAGCGUGGGGAGCAAACAGGAUUAGAUACCCGCGUAGUCCCUGUCUCUUAUAC